GUGCCAGCAGCCGCGGUAAGACGGAGGAGGCAAGCGUUAUCCGGAAUUAUUGGGCGUAAAGGGUCCGCAGGUGGCAGUUCAAGUCUGCAGUCAAAGGUCGGGGCUCAACCCCGGAAAGGCUGUGGAAACUGAACAGCUAGAGUACGGUAGGGGCAGAAGGAAUUCCCAGUGUAGCGGUGAAAUGCGUAGAGAUUGGGAAGAACACCGGUGGCGAAAGCGCUCUGCUAGGCCGAAACUGACACUGAGGGACGAAAGUUAGGGGAGCGAAAGGGAUUAGAUACCCCUGUAGUCCUAGCCGUAAACGAUGGAGACUAGGCGUUGACCGUAUCGACCCGGUCAGUGCCGUAGCUAACGCGUUAAGUAUCCCGCCGGGGGAGUACGCUCGCAAGAGUGAAACUCAAAGGAAUUGGCGGGG
rnacentral:rRNA from 1 species